GAACUCUCAAAUUUCACUGCAACAUAUGUAGAGUUUUUCACCAAAGAAAGGCUAAGGCCUGAGGGAAUGCCAUACGCCCAAAGAGAAUAAUGUCCAAUAGUAACCCCCCACUUCCUCCCAGAAGUUCAGGCAGUGUGCAUCUCAUAUCUUUUUAUUCAAACGUUUUUAUUAUCACAAAUUGUGCCUAUCCCAAGAAGAACAGAUGCAAAGACUCAUUUUUUUGUAUUUUCUCUUCCUUACCCUGCUUGCUUAAAAUACUGAAAUCCAACAGUUGAUCUUUAAUCCUUCAUUAAAGUUGCAUCCUAUUAAUAAUUAACAUUGAGAACAAUAUAUCGUGUCUUCAUUUGGAUGUAACACUAAAAUGUCGUUUAGCAUUACAUGAACAAGCUUUGGGUUUGUGCACUUCUCCAUUUGUUUAGUGGGUCUACACAAAGGAGAUCAGAAGCUUUUGUUUCUGUUUCUAACUAACCAUGGCUUACCAGUAUGUCCCAUCCUGGACAAACUAUCCAUGGCUUACCAUUAUGUCCCAUCGUCUUUAUGGUUUAGUGAAGCGAGCCAAUUUCAAAUGUGGUCUAUAGUCCUGGCUUGUUUCCUAAACCAUAGUUAAGAUUAAACACAUUUGCAAAUCUGGUUAAUUGAAAAUGGAAAUGAAAGAUUCCUGUCUCCUCUCAGCUGCGCUGGAGGAGAGGGUGGGGUGUGAACCCUGUACAGCUUUGCCUAACACCAUACCAUAAUUUUGUUUUACAGACCAGUUUACUUAUCCAAUCCCUUCACCCUGUAUUUUCAGAAAUGUAAAAGACAAAUAAAUGUUCCAAUCCCAUGCAUAUUUACUUACUUGGGAUAAUAAUUAAGUGUGCCCUGCUUCUGAUUAGGCUUGUAUAGAAUCAGGCAACUGAGUUCAACUUUACAGUUUUGUUAAGAAUAUUAGUUUGUUUUACUCAGUGUAGUCUCAUUGAAAUGAAUAGACAUAAGUUAGUUAUGUUCAUUAAUUUUAGUAAGUCUACUUUGAGUAAAACCCACUGAUUUUCUCUCUCUUCAGGAUGGAAAACUUAAUGCCCAGGGACUUAAUGUGCCCCCCACCCCCACCCCCGCUGCCAGUCUCAGACCUCUCCACAGGCUACACCUCUCACUGGCUGUGUGUUGCAGGAGCAUUUUUGCCUGGUUGGAAUGUGUCCAUGACCUCUGAUCAUUCUUCUUGCUUGGCUGGGUGUGGGAUAUAGAGGGAUGAGUGAAUAUGUAUAGAAACUAGCCUACUCUACAAAAGGAGCAUCUGCAUUCAUUUCUGUGCCUGAUUUUGCCUCUGGCUCUGUCCAUGACUAGCAUGCAUCCCUGGAAAGGGAAUGUGGUUCUUGAGCUGAAAAAAAGAACCCUUUGCUAAACAGUAGCCACUAUGUCUAGCAGUAAAUUUUCUGCAUCCCAAAGGACAUGGUUUGUACUAUUCACCCCUUUUGUCCUCUGGAGACACUAUUUUAAGUUACUGAAUCAAUAGACCCAUUAUGCUGUCUACAAAUAAAGCAGGAUCUAGAGUCAUUACAAGGAGCUUGUGUGCUUAAUACCGUUACCUUAUUUUGUGGACUUUUCAUUUUAUGAGGAGGACUGUUCACUGGACAGCAAACUAGGUGAGUGAGGGGAUUUGCAUAGAGGACUAUGAGCCUAGGCAUAAAUGCUAAACCCUACAGUUCACCCCAACUUUUUUCACCCUGGUGUUGUGUAAGAUGUUUUGGACUACAACUCCCAUCAGCCCCAGGCAGUACAGCCAAUGGCCAGGGAUGAUGAUGGGAAUUGUAGUCUAGAAUAUAUGGAGGCUCACAAGCAGAUAUCCAAAAUAUCCAACAAACAGAUAUUUAAAUCUUUUCUGAACUAGAAAGAGAGAGAAAAAAGUGUAGUAUCUGUUUUCAGAGUCAAAUGCCAUACUAUCUUCCUCCCCUUGUUUUCCCUCUUGAAAAAGUAACUGACUUCUGAACAAUGCAUUGUGAGUGGAUGUCUCAACCUUUUCUAAAUGUUGAGCUCUGGCUAAGAUUCCCCCUGUUUGGAAAGUGGAAAGCUGGGCCCUGACUCCUCCUGAAUGACAGUGUUAAUUGCCAUUGACUGUAAUAGAAUAUGAAUAGCACAGCCACUUGACACCAACUUAAUGGUUCUGACUUUUCAGUGGCUGAGAGUGUUAAGGCUAGAGGGGAAAUAGGGUCAGAGAAUAGAUAAGAGCCCUUCUGAUUCUAUUGAAAAAGAUUAAAGCUUCUGAGUCUUUGAAGUGGCACUUGUGAGGUUUGCCAUUUGUAUGAAGUCAUGUUAAAAUGGAAAGUGAUUGGGAAGUUUUGCAGUUGCAGAAGCACCAUUAAAACACUUUUGCUAUGACAUUCCCUUAAUAUUGUUCAGGUCAAUUGCAGAACAAGAAACAACAAUUGGCUAUCUCACAUCUUUGAGAUUUGAAGAAGAGAUAAUCACACAGACCUGAUGAAUUGCUCCAGGGGCCACAUGACCCUGAACCAAUCUUUACAACUCUACUACAUAAAGUGUGCAGCAUUUCUCCACAUUUUCAUUUAGGGGAAAGAGAAAACAGUCCAGUUCUCAAGAGGGCCUUCAGUGUUGCACAGUUGGGGUUAUAAGUCCAUAAGCAGGAUAUAAGACAGCCUUUCCAUGUUUGUCUCUGGAAUGUAUAGUAUAUCUGUACAUGGAGGUUUCAUUCUGCUUUAUUGAAGCAAAUAGCCACUGGCAGACAAAUUGAUGGAGGACAGAUCUAAUUCCCCCUUUUAAUGGUAUCAGAGUUAGUAAAUAUCAUAGCAUGGCCUGGUAAUGGUAAAUUAUAAAUUAUGUAUUGUAUGAAAAAGUAGUUUUUUAAAAAGCCUGCCCUGAGCUUCCCUCCAGUUAGUUUCAUGGGCUGAGCCCGCAUUCUACUUACUACCGGUAUUAUGCAAGAAAGAGAAAUACACUACUUCUAUGAACUGAUAUACUGUAGUGGUAGAUUUUGAAGUGUGAGAGCUCAUCAUAGCCUCCCAUAGCCACAUCUCAAAGGAAAGUCCCAAAAUGUGGUACCUGUGUUGAUCCAUUAUGUGUGCACACUGAAGAGUAGCAGUGAAUAUAAUAUCCAAUUUAUUAAAAUCAGUUGACAGGCAUCGUAUAGUGAACUGACUAAGGAUGAUGUAAAGCAGGGGUGUCCAACAGGUCGAUGGUGUUCUACCCAUGUAGAUCCCCACGAGGUUUUGGUAGAUUGCAUUGGAUCUCUGUCUCCCUUUCCUUAGGGUCACUAAAAUUGACUCCUGCCCCGCCCCCUCGACCUGCCCUCCAUUGUUGUUUGAUCCCUGGAAUCAUUGUUUUUAUCCAUAGGGAUCCCUUUGUGAGUGACUUUAUCCCUUUGUCCCUUGCCUUUAACCCCUCCUAAAAAAGCUUUGAGCUGACCUCCCCCCAAAAAACAACAACAGGGGUAGAUCACUGCCAGUCUUUAAUUCUGAAAGUAGAUCACAGUCUCUCGAGAGUUGGCCACCCCUGAUGUAAAGUUUAUCAUACUGAAAUCUGGCUGGCAAGACUUAGGUUCACAUCUCUGAUCAGCAUGUGGCAUCACUAAUAUCCAGUUCAUAAUGCCGUGGGAGUAAACUCCACUAAAGUGCUACUAUGUAAAGGCUAGGAUGAAAUUGGAACUUCAUCACCAUCAUCAUUUUUUAUUUGUAUGCCGCCCUUCCAAAGUUAAAACAUGCUUACAGCAUGACAAGAUUUACAUAAUUACCAAUGUAACAAAAGUCAUAAACAAUAAAUAAAGCACAUCAAAAGGUACAUAACCAAAUGGAAAACAAUUUCCACAUAAAUCAU
rnacentral:lncRNA from 1 species